GUCGAACGCUGGCGGCGUGCUUAACACAUGCAAGUCGAGCGGAGCGGCGAACGGGUGAGUAACGCGUGAGUAACUGCCCCCCUCUCUGGGGUAACAGUUGGACACGGCUGCUAAUACCGGAUAGUGUGGGAUGACUCGCGUCCUAUCAGCUUGUUGUUGGGGUAGUGGCGUAACAAGGCGACGACGGGUAGCCGGCCUGCGAGGGGGACCGGCCACAUUGGGCUGAGGUACGGCCCAAAGGCCUACAGGAGGCAGCGGGCGGGAAUAUUGCACAAUGAGGGAAACCCUGAUGCAGAGACGCCGCGGGCGGAAUGACGGUCUUCGGGGUGUAAACCGCUUUCGGCCAUGACGCGGUAGUGGCAGAAGAAGCACCGGCUAACUACGUGCCAGCAGCCGCGGUAAUUC
rnacentral:rRNA from 1 species